GAUGAACGCUGGCGGCGCGCCUAACACAUGCAAGUCGAACGAUUAAAGCACCUUCGGGUGUGUAUAAGGUGGCGAACGGCUGAGUAACACGUGGGCAACCUGCCCCUUUCAUUGGGAUAGCCACGGGAAACCGUGGAUAAUACCGAAUACUUCGAGACUUCCGCAUGGAAGACUCGAGAAAGCUCCGGCGGAGAGGGAUGGGCCCGCGGCCUGUUAGCUUGUUGGUGGGGUAACGGCCUACCAAGGCAAUGAUGGGUAGCUGGGUUGAGAGACCGACCAGCCAGAUUGGGACUGAGACACGGCCCAGACUCCUACGGGAGGCAGCAGUGGGGAAUCUUGCACAAUGGGCGAAAGCCUGAUGCAGCGACGCCGCGUGCGGGAUGAAGGCCUUCGGGUUGUAAACCGCUUUCAGCAGGGACGAGGCGAAAGUGACGGUACCUGCAGAAGAAGCCCCGGCUAACUACGUG
rnacentral:rRNA from 1 species